GGGGCCGACUUGGUUUCGACAAGGGUUACAAAACGGUCAGGGCAUAUCGAGGACCCGUUACCUCGUUAAUCAAUGGGAAAAACGUAACUGCAAACGACGAAACGUUCGCACUGGCAGCCUAAGGGUCGCCGUCCUCUGCCUAGUUCACUGACGGACUAGCCGUCGCAAGACCGGUAGCAAUACCGCCAGAGGUCAUAUACGUCAGUUAAUCCUUGUUGGUGUCACGACACCAAGGCCGAAAAUUAAGUGAAUCGCUGUCCUGAAGCGUGUUCAUCCGCGUCAGUACAGUUAAAUCGAAAGAUAGAACUAAGUAUGUAGAACUGUUCGUGGCGUGCUUUUGGACGCGGGUUCGAUUCCCGCCGGCUCCACCA
rnacentral:tmRNA from 1 species